AAAGGUCAAGGUCGAAUGUCGUCACGCUCAAUAGUGACGUCAUCUGUUUUGUUCUAUGACGUUUCCAUAUUUGUAAAAGGUGGGUCAGUGACCUUCAAAACAAAUACUUUUGUUUG